rnacentral:rRNA from 1 species
AGGACGAACGCUGGCGGCGUGCUUCAUACAUGCAAGUCGAACGAGAAGUCACCUUCGGGUGAUGGAAAGUGGCGGACGGGUGAGUAAUGUGUAGAGAAUCUGCCCUAGAGUGGGGGACAACAGUUGGAAACGACUGCUAAUACCGCAUAUGCGCGUACCUGCAAUGGUAUUCGUGAAAACUCCGGUGCUCUGGGAUGAGUCUGCAUCUGAUUAGCUGGUUGGCGGUGUAAUGGACCACCAAGGCGACGAUCAGUAGCUGGUUUGAGAGGAUGAUCAGCCACAAUGGGACUGAGACACGGCCCAUACUCCUACGGGAGGCAGCAGUAGGGAAUUUUGCGCAAUGGGGGAAACCCUGACGCAGCAACGCCGCGUGAUUGAAUAAGCCCUUCGGGGUGUAAAGAUCUGUCAGUGGGGACGAAACUUGACGGUACCCACAGAGGAAGCAUCGGCUAACUCCGUGCCAGCCGCGGC